rnacentral:lncRNA from 1 species
AUGACCGAACCAGGGUCACACAAUGGUGGAGGGAAGAUGCAAUGUGGUGAAACCCCUCGGGGGUGCCCCGAGGGGAUGCUUGGGAAAUGUGGGGUGAGACAAGGGCCCCUUCUGGGUUUUGCGGCUUCACAGAGCUGGGAGCUGCUGCCCUCCUCAAACAGAGCUAUCAUGGCAGCCAGGAUCCCGGGCAUUGCCUCCUGCUUCCACCCCUCAGCUGUGACGCUUAGGCUGGCCCUGUGGGGCCAUUCCUCUCUCCCCUUGCUGGGGCCACUGGGGUCAGAGAGCCUAGGAGUGCCUCAAACUACUGCUCGUCAAAUCCAGAGACGCCAGGGAAAUCACGGAAGUGCUCAGCCCAUGGACUGGGGGACAGACGGCCGCCUCAUCGCCUGUCUCCGUGGACGGCCUUGCACCUGCUUCAAGCGGAGAAUCAGAGCAACCUAGGAGGCUGUCCACAAGCUCCCCGCCCACCUGCUCGUUUGCUUUCACAGUCUUCAUCUUCUCUCCUUGCACGCUGGACCGACCACCCACAUCCAGCCCUUGGGUACCAGAUCCCGUCUCAUCCCUCCUGCUCUGAAGACACUACUCAAGCAAGUUCCCAUCCUCCUCGACACAUCAGGUCUUCCUUUCUCUAUGGUUCACCCCCAUCCACAUUCUUCCAUAUCUGCUUCUCUCUCCUCUUGUGACCCCACUUUCCCUCCACCUGCCACCCCCUUCUCCUCCUUCCUUUUGUAGCCUAGGUCCUGGAGAACACCGCCUACUCACACUGUCUCCAACUUCUCUCUGCCAAACCCCUCCUUUUCCCCUCCCUGCCUUAUUUUUUCUCCUUAUACCUGUCUUGCUACAGAACCUUACUCGUUUCGCUGGUGCCGGCUGCCUCCCUAGAAUUAAUCUCCCUGAAGGUAGGGACUGGGUCUACUUCAUUCAUGGCUGUCAUCUGACGAUCUAGAGCAGUGCUGGUCUAGAGCAGGGGCCAGAUAAAUAUUUG